GAGUUUGAUCGUGGCUCAGAAUCAACGCUGGCGGCGUGCCUAACACAUGCAAGUCGAGCGGCAGCGCGGGGCAACCUGGCGGCGAGCGGCGAACGGGUGAGUAAUGCAUCGGAACAUGUCCAUGUCGUGGGGGAUAGCCCGGCGAAAGCCGGAUUAAUACCGCAUACGCCCGAGAGGGGAAAGUGGGGACCGCAAGGCCUCACGCGAUUGGGUUGGCCGAUGUCCGAUUAGCUAGUUGGUGGGGUAAAGGCCUACCAAGGCGAUGAUCGGUAGCUGGUCUGAGAGGAUGAUCAGCCACACUGGGACUGAGACACGGCCCAGACUCCUACGGGAGGCAGCAGUGGGGAAUUUUGGACAAUGGGGGAAACCCUGAUCCAGCCAUUCCGCGUGAGUGAAGAAGGCCUUCGGUUG
rnacentral:rRNA from 1 species